AUGGCCCAAGUUGCGGCCCAACCAUCAGUACCGCUUUUGGAUAAGGUGGUUUCUUCGUCUGGAAAUUAUUCUCAACUGAUUAUGGACUCUGCUGGGGAUUCUGCUAGGGUUAAUGAUAUUAUUAAUGAUAUUGUUUUCAACAUUUGGAAGUGUCAGAACUGUUUAUCUAUGUUGCACCACACCAGUUCGUGCACCAAGCAGGUCAGAUGCCGUCGAUGCUUUAGAUCGGGCCACAGAGCCAAGGGGUGCUCUGGCUCUGCGCCUUCCCCAACUUACAGGUGGGUCCCACGAGCCAAUUCGGUUUCUUCGGAAUGGUCAGCGGAGAUAUACUCGCCUGGCGCCUCGGUUUCCCCCCUGGGGUCUCUACCCAGUCCUAUCACGCCUGCCACCCCAUCGCUUCCGCCAUUGCCCGCAGAGCCACCGCCCAUCACGCCUCCGCCACCUACCUCAACGCCGCCGCCCACCACACCGCCAGCUCCAUCGUCACCGCCGCCCAGCUUGCCGCCAUCCUCCAAGACUCCAUCCUCGCCAACAGCGCUUGCUCUGAAUCCAACAAUGGCCACCUUUGCUCUCGACCCCACGCCGUUCGUCCCGCAUGGUUUCGAGAUCAUCGAUGGUGGUCCGCGGUGA
rnacentral:rRNA from 1 species